rnacentral:rRNA from 1 species
UGGGGAAUAUUGCACAAUGGGGGAAACCCUGAUGCAGCGACGCCGCGUGAGCGAUGAAGGCUUUCGAGUCGUAAAGCUCUGUCCUAUGGGAAGAUAAUGACGGUACCAUAGAAGAAAGCCCCGGCUAAUUACGUGCCAGCAGCCGCGGUAAUACGUAAGGGGCGAGCGUUGUCCGGAAUUAUUGGGCGUAAAGAGUGCGUAGGCGGCAAAUUAAGUCAGAUGUGAAAACUAAGGGCUCAACCCAUAGAUUGCAUCUGAAACUGAUAUGCUUGAGUCAAGGAGAGGAAAGUGGAAUUCCUAGUGUAGCGGUGGAAUGCGUAGAUAUUAGGAGGAAUACCGGUGGCGAAGGCGACUUUCUGGACUUGAACUGACGCUGAGGCACGAAAGCGUGGGGAGCGAACAGG